rnacentral:rRNA from 1 species
UGCGGGGGGAGCAAGCGUUGUUCGGAUUUACUGGGCGUAAAGGGCGCGUAGGCGGCCACCGCAAGUCGAUUGUGAAAUCUCCGGGCUUAACCCGGAAAGGUCAACCGAUACUGCGGGGCUAGAGUGCAGAAGGGGCAACUGGAAUUCUCGGUGUAGCGGUGAAAUGCGUAGAUAUCGAGAGGAACACCGACGGCGCAGGCAGCGUCCUGGCCGCUUGCUGACACUGAGGCACGAAAGCUGGGGGAGCAAACAGG